AAAGCUAAAUGAAGGAUGGUCACAGCAAGAUUUUUUUUUUCUAUGGCAGUCACAGCCUUGGGAUCUCAGAAGAACAUCAUGAAGGUUCAGACAUUGGGCAGCUUGCCAAACCCAUGGGAAAACAAUUGCCAGCUUUUCCACUUGGUUAGGGGAUCCACCCUUGCAUCUUCUGCGUGCAUCCAAAUGCAGAGCCUAGGCUACAACAGAAAAUGUUCCAAGAUUAAAGGUCUUCUGUGGAAGGGAAAGAAACUAAGAUGGCAAACUAUACUUUACCACAGAAAAUACUUCUUCGAUCCCUUGUGAGCUGAGUGAAAGAUGUACUUAUUGGUGAUAACAGAAGCAGAAGAAGACACCGUGUUAAAGUGAGAAUUUCCAAUAUUUUGUGAUUGUUUUUUGUUUUUGUUUGUUUGUGUUUGGGAGACUAAGUUUAUAAUAAUGCUUUUCAGGAGCAGACAGGUGA
rnacentral:lncRNA from 1 species